GGUCGACCUGCAGGCGGCCGCGAAUUCACUAGUGAUUAGAGUUUGAGCGGGGCUCAUGACAAACUCUAAUCGAAUUCCCGCGACAGGCAUGGCGAACGGGGCCAUGCGUCGCAGGGCCCAAGACGCCCUAUAGUGAGCGUAUUAAACGUGAGGAACCUGCCCCGAAGACCGGGAUAACCCUCCGAAAGGAGAGCUAAUACCGGAUACCCCAACCAGAUCGCAUGGUCUGGUUCGGAAAUGGAUUCCGCUUCGGGAGGGCCUCGCGGCCUAUCAGCUUGUUGGUGGGGUAACGGCCCACCAAGGCUUCGACGGGUAGCUGGUCUGAGAGGACGAUCAGCCACACUGGGACUGAGACACGGCCCAGACUCCUACGGGAGGCAGCAGUGGGGAAUUUUGGACAAUGGGGGAAACCCUGAUCCAGCCAUUCCGGUGUAGGAGACCUUAGGGUUGUAAAGCUUUUCACCGGAAGCGUUGGGAGCCUCCUA
rnacentral:rRNA from 1 species